UCUCACUCUCAUCAAACCAAUACUCUACUUCACUCACUUUGGAGAUCAAAUAAUUAUGACAUCUUUAAAACAGGCAAUAGUUGCUGUGAGCCAUGUCUUGAUCUACUCUAGGAGUUCAAUUAAAGUUAGGCUGCUGAACAUCUGGUACCAUGAUUUAUUGCAGUAUAUAUUUCAUAAGUUUCACAAGAAGGAUCAGCUUUAAAACCUAAAAAUGACUUUCAGUGAUAAAAACAAAUUGAGAAUUAUAACAAAUAUGAUGAAUCCAUAGAUGGAUCACAUUCCAUCCAUUCAUAUCACAAUUGCAACUGAAGUCCUGUGCACAUUAUAACACCACUUAUAUUAAGGUAAUCUUCCUGCUGAAUCAGGUAGGCUCUCUGGUCAGUUAAAGUGGUAAUGGCAGUAGCAAAAUAACAACAUAAGGCAAUUAAAUAUGCUAAUACCAUUGAUGCUAUUCAUGCAAGUGGUCACUAUUAACAUCAGUCUCUCAAAUUCUACUUAUGGGACUAUCAAAUUGCAUUUCCAUUGUUGCAUGUAGCAUAAAGUGGUAUGCAAAUGAAACACACGAUGUAAAAAAAACAUUUUCGCACAGUGAGUAAUUAGGCUAUGGAAUGCACUGCCUGCAAGUUGGUGGGGGCAGUUUUAAUUGAGACAUUGAAGAGAGCAUUGGAUGAUUAUUUGGAUGGAAAUGGUAUGCAGGGGUAUGGGGAAAAGGCAGGAGAUUGGCACUAGGUGGUAGAACUGGUGCAGGUACGAUGAACUGAAUGGUUUCCUUCCACACCACAACAAUUCUGUGAUAAAGCACUUUGCUGGAAAAAUGUGGGAUUGCUUUUAAAGCCGAUUACUCUUGUGGAAGCAAGAUGGAGCAGUUACAAAGGAGUGGAAGAUGUAUAUAAUUCAUUCUUGUCCUAGUCUAAUCAAAAGACUGUGACAAAGACCACUCCCCAAAGCCAGUAGGAUCAUCUUGAAAUGUACAGAGCAGGCAUUCAUUAAAUAAUUGGUGCCUAAUUUUAACUGAGAGCAGGGCAAGGAAUGCUGCUUGACUGGGACAGACUAUCCCUAUGCAAGGAACUUUCAGUUACAUUACAUUUCAUUACCAAAGGGCUCCAAAAUAAUGGAUUCCACGCUAGGCAGGUUGAGUUGCUUCAGGUGAAGAAGUAACCAAUGUUAACAGUAAUUAACAAAAAAACAAAUAAAGCUUUCAUGCUAACCAGCAUAUUCUUAUAUUCACUUAAUCAUGUCUUUUUGUACUUUAAAAACAGUUUAACAAUUUUGUACGUAAGCAAUUAUGAACAGUUCAUUGCUUAACACAAUACAUAAUGUUCUGUUAUGUUGUGCAGUGAAUUUUACAAAGAACAUGUGGUAAGGUAUCACCAGUAAGACACUCUCUCUGUACACUUGUUCUCUCCUCCAUGGAUUUGUUUUUAAUGUUUAAGUUUUAACUUGAUCACUAUAUCAGUGUUUACCUCGAACACAAUUCGUGUUA